UACGAAGGGUGCAAGCGUUACUCGGAAUUACUGGGCGUAAAGGGUGCGUAGGCGGUCGUUUAAGUCCGUUGUGAAAGCCCUGGGCUCAACCUGGGAAUGGCAGUGGAUACUGGACGGCUAGAAUGCGGUAGAGGGUAGUGGAAUUCCCGGUGUAGCAGUGAAAUGCGUAGAGAUCGGGAGGAACACCAGUGGCGAAGGCGGCUUCCUGGACCAGCACUGACACUCAAGCACGAAAGCGUGGGGAGCAAACAGG
rnacentral:rRNA from 1 species